rnacentral:tRNA from 1 species
AUUUAUUUAGUAUAAUUAGUAUAUUUGACUUCCAAUCAAAAAGUCCGGUAAACUGGAAUAAAUA